AGGGGAGCGGUAGCGGCUGCUAGGGCUUGGAGGGCGGCGGGUUUUCCCUCUGUGUUCGGAGCAAUGGACGUUCUAUCGGGUGGCUGUCCUAGGAGCACAAAGGCACAGGCUCUUAAGAAAUUUAGCACUGCAGUUGAGAACCAUGAAAAGCCAAUGGAGUGAAGACCUGGAAGAGACCUUCAAGAGCAAGAACACCUGUGUCGCUGAAGCAGGACAACGUCGUCUUUGGCAGGUGUUCGUCAGACCUGUUCACAAAAGCCUGCACUCCGGAGUGAUUUACCAUAGUGACAAGAAAGAUAUUACUAUCAUUUGAUUUACACAAAAAUAAAAUAUUAGUUAAAAAUCAGGU